rnacentral:rRNA from 1 species
AACGAUGGAUAUCUUGGUUCCCAUAACGAUGAAGAACGCAGCGAAGUGCGAUAAGCAAUGCGAAUUGCAGAACCGUGAGUCAUCAGAUUUUUGAACGCAACUGGCGCC